rnacentral:rRNA from 1 species
UAUAUCGGAACAUGUCCGGAAGUGGGGGAUAACGUAGCGAAAGUUACGCUAAUACCGCAUAUGCCCUGAGGGGGAAAGGAGGGGAUCGUAAGACCUUUCGCUUUCGGAGUGGCCGAUAUCAGAUUAGCUAGUUGGUGAGGUAAAGGCUCACCAAGGCGACGAUCUGUAGCGGGUCUGAGAGGAUGAUCCGCCACACUGGAACUGAGACACGGUCCAGACUCCUACGGGAGGCAGCAGUGGGGAAUUUUGGACAAUGGGCGCAAGCCUGAUCCAGCCAUGCCGCGUGAGUGAAGAAGGCCUUCGGGUUGUAAAGCUCUUUCAGCCGGAAAGAAAUCGCACUUGCUAAUACUAAGUGUGGAUGACGGUACCGGAAGAAGAAGCACCGGCUAACUACGUGCCAGCAGCCGCGGUAAUACGUAGGGUGCGAGCGUUAAUCGGAAUUACUGGGCGUAAAGCGUGCGCAGGCGGUUUUUUAAGACAGACGUGAAAUCCCCGGGCUUAACCUGGGAACUGCGUUUGUGACUGGAAGGCUAGAGUAUGGCAGAGGGGGGUAGAAUUCCACGUGUAGCAGUGAAAUGCGUAGAUAUGUGGAGGAAUACCGAUGGCGAAGGCAGCCCCCUGGGUCAAUACUGACGCUCAUGCACGAAAGCGUGGGGAGCAAACAGGAUUAGAUACCCUGGUAGUCCACGCCCUAAACGAUGUCAACUAGGUGUUGGGGGAGGAGACUUCCUUAGUACCGCAGCUAACGCGUGAAGUUGACCGCCUGGGG